AGGGUCACAUGUAAAGGCUUACAUUUUGCUUUGAUGUCUUCAGGCGCUAAAGCUCUUCUGUAGAUCCAAGAUUCGUCCGCCCGUCAAACAAGGGCCUUUGGUGAAAGAUAAAGACUGCAGAUCAGGAAUGAAGAUGCACUCUCCGUACGAUUCCAAAUGGCACAAACAGCACAGCUUCCUUCACCACGUUCAACAGCAUAACAAAAUGGCUAGGAACCUGCCACCCCGAGCCUAUGCUGCCAAAUAUCAGAAGAUGAAUUGCACUGGAAUUUAAGGGAACCGGCUGAUUGUGAGGUGCCCCUUGCUUUUGAGUUAAUUUACCGCAAAAUUGACUUUGAGAAGCCUAAAGAGCAAAGAAAUGUGGAAGUCCCUGCUUUCCUGAAUGCUCAAAUGGGCUUUUCAGCAACCCACCACACAUGCAAGGCGAAUGGAGGGCAUCUGAGCUGUAGCCAGUCUCACCGACACUGAGGAAUCACAACCAUCUGAUGAUGUUCAUUUCCACUCGACAGAGCAAGCAUUUUACAAAUUCAAACGAUCCAUUGCCGGAUUCAGGUCGGCUCUUCCGACUAGCGUACCAUCUAUCCGCAGCUAUUUGUCUUUCCUGAUAAGGGAUCACGUCCCUCCUUUUCAGCAAGGUUUUAAAAGGAUUGGGAAGAGCAUGAUUUAAAACUGCGUCUUAUCAUCGUAAACAAUCCACUCCGAGUGUCAGUUGGCUUUGAAAGACAGGCGUGUGGCCUUACUUCUGCCUCUAGGUCACCUUCGCAAGACAAAAGGCAAAAGGAAAAGACAUAUUUCCCUGGGGAAUUCUGGACAGAGGUUGCUGCUGAUUCUAGGAUAAGAGGUAUGGAUCAUGAUUUCUGAUUGCCAAAGCCUCAUGGAUGUCCGGAACAGCUCUUACACGUUCAAAUCUACACACCGUUCUCCGGAAUACGAAGUCCCGCGAAUCCUUGCAUCAAGGCUGGUGAGCCAUUUCUUUUAGGGUAAUAGAACCUUUCGA